rfam:Candidatus Saccharibacteria bacterium RIFCSPHIGHO2_12_FTLL_47_16b rifcsphigho2_12_scaffold_16816, whole genome shotgun sequence.
UUUUUGGAGAGUUUGAUCCUGGCUCAGGAUGAACGCUGGCGGCGUGCCUAAGAUAUGCAAGUCGGACGCGAGCUUCUCACUAACGUGAUAAGCGGAAGUAAGAAUAAAGAAGAAUGAAUUAUGAAUAAAACCCAUAACUCUUAACUCCUAAUUCUAUAUUCUGCUCAUCGCGUGAGCGAGGAGCUUGAGUGGCGGACGGCUGAGUAACGCGUAGGAACGUACCCUAAAGUGAGGAAUAAGCACCGGAAACGGUGUCUAAUGCCGCAUAAGGCCAGCACCUUGUGCUGGAAAUCCUAAUACCUAAGCACUAAAUCCUAAAUAUUUGGAAUUUGUUAUUUUGAGUUUCGAAUUUGUUUAGAGUUUAGAAAUUAGAAUUUAGAGAUUUCAAGCAUAAAGUGCUGGUCAAAGCAUUUAUGCGCUUUGGGAGCGGCCUGCGUAUGAUUAGCUUGUUGGUGAGGUAAAGGCUCACCAAGGCGAUGAUCAUUAGCUGGUCUGAGAGGAUGAUCAGCCAGAACGGGACUGAGACACGGCCCGUACCCCUACGGGGGGCAGCAAUUAGGAAUAUUUCACAAUGGGGGAAACCCUGAUGGAGCGACGCCGCGUGCAGGAUGAAGGCCUUCGGGUUGUAAACUGCUUUUACUCGGGACGAUUAUGACGGUACCGAGAGAAUAAGGGUCUGCUAACUACGUGCCAGCAGCCGCGGUCAUACGUAGGACCCAAGCGUUAUCCGGAAUUACUGGGCGUAAAGAGUUGCGUAGGUGGCAUGGUAAGUUGAUAGUGAAAUCAUCUCGCUCAACGGGAGACACAUUAUCAAAACUGCCAAGCUAGAGCAUAGGAGAGGUAGCUGGAAUUGCUGGUGUAGGAGUGAAAUCCGUAGAUAUCAGCAGGAACACCGAUGGCGUAGGCAGGCUACUGGCCUAUUGCUGACACUAAGGCACGAAAGCGUGGGGAGCGAACGGGAUUAGAUACCCCGGUAGUCCACGCUGUAAACGAUGGAUGCUAGCAGUUUUCAGUAUCGACCCUGGAAGUUGCGAAGCUAACGCGUUAAGCAUCCCGCCUGUGGAGUACGGUCGCAAGACUAAAACAUAAAGGAAUUGACGGGGACCCGCACAAGCGGUGGAGCGUGGCCUGUGGAGUACGGUCGCAAGACUAAAACAUAAAGGAAUUGACGGGGACCCGCACAAGCGGUGGAGCGUG